AUUGAACGCUGGCGGCAUGCUUUACACAUGCAAGUCGAACGGCAGCGCGGGCUUCGGCCUGGCGGCGAGUGGCGAACGGUUGAGUAAUACAUCGGAACGUGCCCAGUAUUGGGGGAUAGCUCGGCGAAAGCCGGAUUAAUACCGCAUACGACCUGAGGGUGAAAGCGGGGGAUCUUCGGACCUCGCGCUAUUUGAGCGGCCGAUGGCAGAUUAGCUAGUUGGUGGGGUAAAGGCCUACCAAGGCGACGAUCUGUAGCUGGUCUGAGCGGGCGACCAGCCACACUGGGACUGAGACACGGCCCAGACUCCUACGGGAGGCAGCAGUGGGGAAUUUUGGACAAUGGGCGAAAGCCUGAUCCAGCAAUGCCGCGUGUGUGAUGAAGGCAUUCGGGUUGUAAAGCACUUUUGGCGGGAACGAAAAGGACUGUGCCAAUACCACGGUUCGAUGACGGUACCCGCAGAAUAAGCACCGGCUAACUACGUG
rnacentral:rRNA from 1 species